CUACUGCAGGUGAAAUACUACACAUUUCAUGACAGGUAUGUAUUGAACUUUAUGUGUGUAAUUCAUCAGUAAAUCAGAUUUAAUUCUUUUUUUUACAUUUGUAAGAGUUACAGUGCUCUUGUUUUAGGGACAUGGCCCCUGAGGGCCGCACUCUGGAAGAAUCCAAUAAAAACCUGGAUGAGAUUUCAGACUUGGCUUUGCAGCUCCAGAAGAAGACUGGGGUUAAAGUGCUUUGGAUCACCUGCAACCUGUUUGCUCAUCCCAGGUCAGUCCCAUAACAACUCAUUCUUGGUCAGUUUUACUUAAAGAGAGCUUUUUAAAAAACUGUGCAUUCUUCGGUUUAUCUGUGCAUUGUAUAUUGUAUGUGCAGGUAUAUGAACGGAGCCUCCACUAACCCAGACUGCCAUGUUUUGGCCUAUGCUGGAGCUCAGGUGAAAAAGGGUCUCGACAUAGCCAAGAAGCUGGGGGCCGAAAACUUUGUGUUCUGGGGGGGCCGGGAGGGCUUUCUCUCCAUCCUCAACACAGACGUAGCGGCUGAACUGAAGCACAUGGCCAACUUCUUUAAAAUGGCAGUGGCUUAUAAAGAAAAGAUUGGCUUGAAAUGCCAGUUCCUCAUUGAGCCAAAGCCGAAGGAACCAUGCAAGCACCAGUACGACUACGAUGCGAUGAGUGUCAUCGGCUUUUUGAAGCACUUUGGAUUGGACAAAGACUUCAAGCUUAAUAUUGAGCCCAACCACACAACCCUGGCUGGACAUUCCUAUGAGCACGACAUCAUCAUGGCCUCUGUGUUUGGUAUGCUGGGCUCUGUGGACUCAAACACUGGGUCUCCUGAUCUGGGCUGGGACACAGAUCAGUUCCCCAUGGACAUCCGCAACACAACCCUAGUGAUGAAGGCUGUAAUCGAGCAGGGAGGCUUACAGCCCGGAGGUUUAAAUUUCGAUGCCAAGGUUCGAAGAGAGUCGACUGACCUGGAGGAUUUGUUCAUCGCUCACAUUGCUGCCAUGGAUGCUUUCGCUCGGGGUCUCAAAAAUGCAGUCAAGAUUAUUGAGGACGGAGUCAUGCAAAAAAUGCUACAGGUAAUUGUGAUAAUCUGAUUCUUUCAUUUCAGUUCUGUAUUUCUCAGCUUGUCCAGAAAUGCAUUUGUACAGCUGUACAUGAUUUGUAUUUAUUUCAGUAGAGUAAACCUGUAUUUACACUUCAAACCUUUAGGGUUUCACCCAUUCUCUAAUGUGGAGUGUUUUAGGUUAGUUAAGCUUGGGGUUACAUUUGCUUCUUUGUUUAUAUUUAAAGUUUUUUG
rnacentral:lncRNA from 1 species